GGUAGUCGGCACUUCGAGUUCGGGCAUUUAGAACCUCGGAACUUCGACUGUGUAAUAUCGUUCGGGGUGUUAGACGUUUAACAGGAGUUUGCUAAGGACGCCUUUUGUUCCUCAGUGGAGACAUGACUGGCAUCUUCAAUUCUUCCUUAAUUUAUCGUAGUGUAAUUGGCCAUGUUGUGAAGUUUUUAAGAAAAAAAAACGUAUAACGCGACUGGACGGCAGUUGGCGCUUGGGAUUCCCAUCGAUUGUUGUUACUUGGUUGGUUAAAUUAUAAUGAAGCCCGGCUUUCUGAAAGGAUUUUUUUGGUACGCGUUUGGCUUAGAUUUUCUAUAAUGGUAAAACUUCGCGCAUGAUAAAGCUGAUUUUUUCAGCUACAGCCAGAAUACAGAAGAAUCAAGAAAAGCAUGGUUGUGUGAAGUGAAGAUGCGCAGAGCGCGGUUUCAGACGAUGGCUGAGGACGACGACGACUGUGAUAGUUUGCUGCCAGAAUUUGCCUUCCUUUGAAGUGACUUACACAAGCCUCGAAUGAGUAAGUCUUCAGAAGACUCCGCCUGGCUCCAAUAUUUCCAAUUGAAAUAGAAUAUUUCAGAGGACUUCAACUGGCAUGACGAACUAUAAUAGCCUUGAAGGUUUCCUAACUUUACAAAAUUCAAUUUCAUGCCAACAUCCGAAUAUUUGGAAAUUUAUAAAUAUACUAAAGCUGGAGGCGAUUUUGGCGCAAGAAAAGAAAAGUGAUUUGGAAUGUUGAGUGCUAGAAUAGACUGAUAACUUUAAAGUAUGAUCCUUGCCAGAAAGUGUGUUUCUAGCUGUAGCAUAUAGUCUGUACCAUGUUGGUUUUAGUAAAUCUUUUUAUAUUGUCA